GGGGUCCAUUCCACGGAUUCCGUGACGCAGCUAACGCAUUAAGUUCCCCGCCUGGGGAGUACGGCCGCAAGGCUAAAACUCAAAGGAAUUGACGGGGACCCGCACAAGCGGCGGAGCAUGCGGAUUAAUUCGAUGCAACGCGAAGAACCUUACCAAGGCUUGACAUAUACGAGAACGGGCCAGAAAUGGUCAACUCUUUGGACACUCGUAAACAGGUGGUGCAUGGUUGUCGUCAGCUCGUGUCGUGAGAUGUUGGGUUAAGUCCCGCAACGAGCGCAACCCUCGUUCUAUGUUGCCAGCACGUAAUGGUGGGAACUCAUGGGAUACUGCCGGGGUCAACUCGGAGGAAGGUGGGGAUGACGUCAAAUCAUCAUGCCCCUUAUGUCUUGGGCUUCACGCAUGCUACAAUGGCCGGUACAAAGGGCUGCAAUACCGCGAGGUGGAGCGAAUCCCAAAAAGCCGGUCCCAGUUCGGAUUGAGGUCUGCAACUCGACCUCAUGAAGUCGGAGUCGCUAGUAAUCGCAGAUCAGCAACGCUGCGGUGAAUACGUUCCCGGGUCUUGUACACACCGCCCGUCAAGUCAUGAAAGUCGGUAACACCUGAAGCCGGUGGCCCAACCCUUGUGGAGGGAGCCGUCGAAGGUGGGAUCGGUAAUUAGGACUAAGUCGUAACAG
rnacentral:rRNA from 1 species